UACGUAGGUGGCAAGCGUUGUCCGGAGUUAUUGGGCGUAAAGCGCGCGCAGGCGGUGCGGUAAGUCUCUGGUGAAAGCGCUCGGCUUAACUGGGCGAGGGCCGGGGAGACUGCCACGCUGGAGGGGAGCAGAGGCGAGUGGAAUUCCGGGUGUAGCGGUGAAAUGCGCAGAUAUCAGGAGGAACACCGGUGGCGAAGGCGGAUCUCUGGGCCUUACCUGACGCUCAGGUGCGAAAGCUAGGGGAGCGAACAGG
rnacentral:rRNA from 1 species